rnacentral:rRNA from 1 species
GGCGAACGGGUGAGGAACACGUGAGAAAUCUGCCUUCAACUCUGGGAUAACUCCGGGAAACCGGGGCUAAUACCGGAUAUGAGCCUUGAUCGCAUGAUCGGGGCUGGAAAGUUUUUCGGUUGAAGAUGAUCUCGCGGCCUAUCAUCUUGUUGGUGAGUAAUGGCUCACCAAGGCGACGACGGUAAGCCGGCCUGAGAGGGCGACCGGCCACACUGGGACUGAGACACGGCCCAGACUCCUACGGGAGGCAGCAGUGGGGAAUAUUGGGCAAUGGAGGAAACUCUGACCCAGCGACGCCGCGUGAGGGAUGAAGGCCUUCGGGUUGUAAACCUCUUUCAGUAGGGAAGAAGCGAAAGUGACGGUACCUACAGAAGAAGCACCGGCUAACUAUGUGCCAGCAGCCGCGGUAAUACAUAGGGUGCAAGCGUUGUCCGGAAUUAUUGGGCGUAAAGAGCUCGUAGGUGGUUCGAUACGUCGGAUGUGAAAAUCAGGGGCUCAACCCCUGACCUGCAUUCGAUACGGUCGAGCUAGAGUGUGGUAGGGGAGACUGGAAUUCCUGGUGUAGCGGUGGAAUGCGCAGAUAUCAGGAGGAACACCGAUGGCGAAGGCAGGUCUCUGGGCCAUUACUGACACUGAGGAGCGAAAGCGUGGGGAGCGAACAGGAUUAGAUACCCUGGUAGUCCACGCCGUAAACGGUGGGCGCUAGUUGUGCGAACCUUCCACGGUUUGUGCGACGCAGCUAACGCAUUAAGCGCCCCGCCUGGGGAGUACGAUCGCAAGAUUAAAAAUCUAAGGA